UCAAUCCGCCCUUCUCCUCUCCCCUUCCGUUUUCUCCUCCCUUCGUCCUUCUCCUCUUUCUCAUUCCCCACCCAUUGCACCUCCUUAUACCCGUGUCACACCGAAGAGUGCUCAUUUUUAAUGCUAAACUGGAAUUUGCAAAUUGCGGAGAAGCGACAAACAAAUUGGUGCAUAGAAAUAUUUGCUCACGCGUAAGUAGCCAGCUAUAAGAUCACAACUCGAAACAACGGAUCAGAUUCGAGGUUUCAGUUGCUGGUCAGUAAAAGGUAAACCAGAAGGCUAGUAAUAACAAUAAUAUCCCACCAGGUGGCUCUAUGUAGGGUUAACAUCAUAUAUCUAUACAUAACAUUGAUUGGCAGUGGAGAGCAGUGAUAUUUAUACACAUAUAAUAAUAGUGUAUUAUAGGAUAUCUAUAGCGAGGAACACUUGUAUCCAGUUGGUGCGCCCUCUGGUGACAAAAGCGAGCUGUUGUGACCACUGGGCUGUAUAUAAUAACAACACAGCGCAGUAGUUGUGUCUGCUUUCAUUUGUCACAUGGCUAUAUAAAUACAUUACACCACGUAUAUAUAUAUAUAUGCAUACGACAGUUUCUUAGCUUUUGUGAAGAUUUACGUGUUUGAAAAUUGUGUGCCAAUUGUAAUUAAUGUUACAUGUACGUACGGUGUAUGCAAAGUGAUUCUGGUUGCAGUAUUGUGUUUUCAAAGAAAAGCAACGAUAAUUGAAACAAUGUGUAAUUAUAUUUAUUUACCCCCUUAUCGUUUGUGUUGCGACGGUCACUUGUGAAUACACUUUAACCGGUACACUGACGAUAUUAAAUUGUGGAUUUACGAUGUUCUCAUGCAAGCUAGUGGUAUAUAUGAUAUAUUAUGGAGAUUUCUGUAUGUUUAUUUCCCAGUGUGCUUUUGUAAACCUGUAACUCGAUCUACUUCAGUCUUGACUAUGGAAUUGUGCCUAUGGAUGUGCUUUUUUGCAAUCCAACUGCUAUUAUACGAUUAAAGUAGUUGUGAAAAAUGUUCUUGUGCAGAAUUGUGGUUUCGCUAUAGUGUAUGAUAUACGACGAAACGGCCAUCUUCUAGCACUUGUUUCACACCGAGGACCUUCCUGCCAUGAUUUUAUAAUAAACAGAAAGCUUUUGUCGAUUUCUUUCCGAGUGCCAAGCAGAUAUUAGAUGCGAUCUAUCUAUCUACCAAGGACUGCUAAAAUCCAAUCGAUUUUCUGGAAGGCAGGCGACUUGGGGCGACUCACCCUGAAAGUGUGUGCAACUGUUGUGCCCGAUAUGUUUUAGGGUGCUUUGCGUGUGAAUUCGUGAGCGUUUCACACAACGACCGACCGAGACCCGGUAUAAAGAAACGUUAAGGUGGGCCAAGUAAUCGCUUCCUAUGAAACAGUUAAGAUUCCACGUUGAGGUAGGAGAAGUAAAUGCUUCCUAUGAAUCGGUUAGAUUCCACGCGUGUCAAUAAUGCCAGCUGACUGUAUUACUGGUACUCAACAACAAAAACAACUUGUUGCCCAUUUCAAUCGGAUUCCUUUCGUGUUGAUAAUCUCUUCGAAGGCAAUCGUUAGGCAAAAAGUGGUAAUAAAAUGCAAACGUGUCAUCUUAAUUAUAAAUGUUGCUGAUUAAUAGUUUUGUGUUUUUCUGUUGAAAGUUUAUCCCCCAAUUCAGGCAACUUCAAAAAAAAUUCAUGUUCUUUUGUUACACACGUUAAUAACCGUUUCAAUCACGUUUGCAGCAAUCCUUUCCAAUGCUUUCCCCUGACUAUAUGAUUAAAUGCAAACAAGUUGUUAGGUGUUUUCCUUGGAGCUGAACUAUUCCACUGUGAAAAAUGGUUGUGGUAAUAGUUCUGCUCCUCUGGCGCCACCUACAUUGGUAAAACCAAUCGAAAUUUCAAGCACACACAAAGUUAAGACACCAUCGUAGUAAUAUUAUUACAUAAGUAUAGUAAUAAUUAUUUAUUCUAAUAUUAUAUUUCAUUGAUAUAACAUUUACAUUACCAUAUAAACUUCUACAGUCCAAUAGAUACACAAGAUCUAGAGUCCAUCAACGCGACAACACAACGUCGUGGCACAUUGUUACCGAAUGGUUGCACCUGGCUCACUACAAAAAUUCCAUAUGGCAUAGAGAGCGAACACUGUUUUACGAUACAGCCGCAUUCCUGUCAGUGGCUGGGAGUACAGCACCUGCACGUUGCCAUGACUACACUCGUCACAACUUUCAACGUGGCGAUACGCGAUAGGCCCUUGUCAACGACGGUAAAGGUAACACUCGGUGGAACUGUGACGCGAUUUAAUCAUUCCUACGCUGUCCGCUGCAACCUCGACCACCACGACUAGGUGACCUGAUGCCACUUCAGCGCCGUGGAAGCUAUAUUUGAAGCAAUCGCAGGCAAAGAACGACUGCUAUAGCACUUGCUUUGCCCGUUAUCAAAAUACCAGAACCGGCCUCCUGCAGUGGCAGCUGUGAAUCCCGUUUACAGUAGCAGGGUUAAUCAGAACAGAGGCAUGCACAGUCUGGCGUCGCACGAUGAGUCGGCUAGCUAUACCGGUGUAGCCCCUUCGCUCCCACUACAAAAGCAGAACAGCGAAGGGCUACGAGUCUACUAGCUCUACCGGUGUAGCCCUUUCGCUCCCACUACAAAAGCAGAACAGCGAAGGGCUACACCAGUAGAGCUACGAGUCAGCUAGCCGGCACCGGCUCGCGCCUGAGGGACCGCAUCACCGCAGCAAUCACUUCCCCGAUCACGGACACGUCGGCUAAUCACGCCAUGCAAGAACGAGGAGCACCUAGUUCGCAGCCGGCUGCCACACACGUGCACGGCUGCCACGUACGCGCGCUGCUACGUGUCUACCAGCAGCCGCGGACAUCCGUUUAACGUCAGCAGCAGUCUACCGCCAACGCUAGCCAACGUGUGCGUGCCUGUGAUCACCCGCAGACAUCGGACGAUGCGAGUGAUCAACCGACGAGAUCGUUUCAACCGGAAACAAAGUUGUAGGGCAGUCAAACGAAUACGAACCAACACG